AGGGAAACACGCGUACCGUGUGCGGGAUCGUUGCUCCACCGCGACCGCCGCACACCCGACCACCGCCUCUUUUCGAGCACGUCAUUUUGGUAUGCUUGUGCGCAUCCCCUCCGUGACGCACAGCCCGCAUCGAACACUGACAAGCACGCGCGUUUGCGGCGGCGGCUUAAGGUGCGUCACCCUCGCCCGCUGCCUUUGCUGUUUGCCCUUGUCGUUCGCACCAUCUGGCCCUCAUGCGACGCUCCGCCUGGGUCUUCGUGGCGCCGUGGGUACCACCACCACGUCAUGACGUCAAGGUCACCAUGCCCCCGCCUCCCGGGGGCGAGGUUGGCGGCUCCUAUGGCGUGUCCACGGGGUACAGCGACCGCCUCGCACGGACGCCGUACUGGAAACGCAUGGCGCUGUCCACCUACGCGCUGCGCAUGAAGGAGAAUGCGACUCGCUACCCGAUGAGCCCGCACCGCGAGGGCGAGUACGACCUGCGCUACACCGUCACCGCCUAUCCCGAUCACAUCAAGCACCGCCCGCUGCUCGAGAUCGGCGAGGCCCACCAGAUCCCGACGAUAGAGAUUCCUGUCAUUUUCUUGGUGAACCUCUGGGACGAGGAGCGGCUGACGUGGUUCGGCCGCCAGUAUGAGACCGUGUAUGUGAGCGGGAACUUUGCGCGCGAGGAGCUGCUGCCGCAGCGGUACGCCAUCUACGCCACGGAGGAGGCGUACAGGCUGCUGGGGCUGCCGGUGGUGAACCACAGCAUCCAUGAGGAGAUCCCCAAGACCCCGCACGCCUACAAGAAGUUGCUGGAGAAGCAGAGCUACACGGAGGAGCGGUGGAAGUACACGAUCGAGUAUCUGUUUCGCAAGUACGAGGCCGGUCCCCCAGAGCUGCAGGACAAGUCCGAGGAUGGCUGGGACGGCGUCGAGGAGUUAGCGACGUCGGCCACGGCAGGCGGAGCCGGCGACAGCUUGGCGAAGCGCAAGGGACCCGUCAAGCAGCGCAAGGCCCGCAAGAUCAAGCUCUUCUGAGUGAGCGCCUGCUCGACAGUGCGGGGUCGUUCUGUGCGAGUCGAUGCGUGCCUGUUGGCGACACGGAAAUGGACCAAGGGACAUCCCAGGAAAUGGAGCAGGGCAGCAUCAUGGCCAUGGCUCUCUCUCUGUUCUGCGUGCAUGCGUGGGGCAUGGCAACUUAUCUCCGCAUCAUGGGUCCCGUGCUAUCUUCUCUGACCGCCUUUUCGGGUUGCGCGUCAGCCGCAUCAUGCAGCCCCGCUCCUCUGCUUUCCUUUCCUUCUCCUCCGUCUGUGGCGUCUCCGCGAGCAUGCGCGCGCACGUGUGCGUGCGUUGUCGUUGUUGGCUGAGUCAUUGGCACUGAUGAUGGUGUCGCCGUCUGUCUGCAUGCUUUUGUGUUGUUGUCUGCGCCCGUGGUUACACCGAGCAUGGCGUCUUCGGUCUUGCCCU
rnacentral:misc_RNA from 1 species